rnacentral:rRNA from 1 species
UGGAUCCAGACUUUGAUCAUGGCUCAGGACGAACGCUGGCGGCGUGCUUUAUACAUGCAAGUCGAACGAGAAUCUGACUUCGGUCAGAGGAAAGUGGCGGACGGGUGAGUAAAAUGUUGAGAAUCUGCCCUUGAGUGGGGGACAACAGUUGGAAACGAUUGCUAAUACCCCAUACGAGAUAGGCUGCAAUGUUUAUCUUGAAAACUCCGGUGCUCAAGGAUGAGUCUGCAUCUGAUUAGCUAGUUGGUGGUGUAAUGGACUACCAAGGCGAUGAUCAGUAGCUGGUUUGAGAGGAUGAUCAGCCACAAUGGGACUGAGACACGGCCCAUACUCCUACGGGAGGCAGCAGUAGGGAAUUUUGCGCAAUGGGGGAAACCCUGACGCAGCAACGCCGCGUGAUUGAUGAAGCCCUUCGGGGUGUAAAGAUCUGUCAGUAGGGACGAAUAAUGACUGUACCUACAGAGGAAGCACCGGCUAACUCCGUGCCAGCAGCCGCGGUAAUACGGGGGGUGCGAGCGUUGUCCGGAAUCAUUGGGCGUAAAGGGUUCGUAGGUGGUAUGUUAAGUCUGGUGUUAAAUUCCGAAGCUCAACUUCGGUACGGCACUGGAUACUGGCAAACUUGAAUGCGGUAGAGGUAAAGGGAAUUCCUGGUGUAGCGGUGAAAUGCGUAGAUAUCAGGAGGUACAUCGGUGGCGUAAGCGCUUUACUGGGCCGUAAUUGACACUGAGGAACGAAAGCCGGGGUAGCAAAUGGGAUUAGAUACCCCAGUAGUCCCGGCCGUAAACGAUGGAUACUAGGUGUUGCGGGUAUCGACCCCUGCAGUGCCGUAGCAAACGCGAUAAGUAUCCCGCCUGGGGAGUACGCACGCAAGUGUGCAACUCAAAGGAAUUGACGGA